UUGCUGAUCCGAGAUUGGGGUUUCCUCAAUUCCAGUCAUCUCAUUACUGAUUGGUUCUAUUGCCAUUACAGAACGGCUGAAGAAGAAUUGAGGAUAUUGAUUCGAGACGGUGUCUUGACGGGGGAUCUGUUUUGGAUACGAUCCUUUUCGAUUGGAGGCGGGUACU